rnacentral:rRNA from 1 species
AUGAGAAAGAAAGGAAACCCUCACUCCUGGUGGGCCUUGUGGUGGAUUGAGAAUACUGCUGCUUUCAUAUCAUGCUUGCUUGCCAUCUGCCCCUCAAUUUCAUUUUACUUCUUUUUUUAUUUGCAGUGUGUUGCUUCACACCCUGAGACCAGGAUCCCGUUCUUGAAUGCUCACAUCCCACUGUACCUGUACCCGUUCCUUAAUAGUACUAGCAAGACCAGACCUUUUGAGUACUUGAGGCUUACCAGCUUGGGUGUUAUUGGUGCUCUUGUGAAGGUUGAUUAUUCUGAAGUUAUUGGGAUUUUGCUUCAAACUGAAAUAAUCCUUCUGUGUCUGCGUACUAUGGAGAUGGGCAGUGAACUUUCCAAAACAGUAUGA